rnacentral:rRNA from 1 species
ACUCGAUAAUCCACGCAUACCAAACCUUCUCUAGACAAUUCAGCAUGUGUACUGCCGUUGUAAGCAUACCUUUAAAAGAUAAGUAUGCCACCAUGACUAAAUAAUUAGCCCAUAUACAUCAGGUCAAAGUGCAGCCAAUAAGAAGGUGAUGAUGGGUUACAACCCCAAAAAAGACUAUCAACUAAGAAAUUAAAAAUCUUACGAAAGUGGACUUGGCCGUAAUUAAUUUAUAAAUUAAAAAAAUGAAUAUUACCUAAGACAUGCACACAUCGCCCGUCACUCUACCCUAAAGGCUAGAUAAGUCGUAACAAAGUAGGUGUAAUGGAAAUUGCACCUGUCGAAGUAUAGCAUAUAUAAUGCUUUUUACUUACACUAAAAAUAAAGUUAAAUAACUUACUUCGCACACAUACAAAAAUCUUUUAACUAAUAAACUAAUAAAAACAAUUAAAUAAUAAAUUAAACAAUAGUACAGAAAUGGAAAUAAUAAUAAAUAAAAGUAACUAUUAACAAUUGUACCUUGUGCAUUAUGGUUUUACAAGAAAACAAUUAAAUACAUAAAUCCCGAAUUCUAUAUGAGAUGCCAAACUGCUGUUAAGAACCCACUAUUAGCUGUAAAAAAAGCUUUAAAAGACAGUUUGACAGAGGCUACAUACCAUUCGCAUAAGAAUAUAGCUGGUUUUCAACAAACAUUAUACAUUAAGACAUAUAAUUAUAUUAUAGUGUAAUAUUAUUGAGGAUAAGCCCAAUAACUAAAGCAAUACACAAACUAAUCCAACGCACUAUAUAGGCCUAAAAACAGCCAAACAAAAUACUUUACCGUAAAAUACACAGAUAUAAUAUAUAUUAUAAAUAUGCUAAACAAAGUUGAAAUAAUGAAUAAACUAAAUACUUCAAUUAUAAUAUGUAAAAAUAAGUAUUAAAUAAUACAUAAAAAUUAUAACCUAGAAUAAACAACAUAUAAACAAUAAUAAUUAAUUAAGGAACUCGGCAAACAAUUAUUUCGACUGUUUAACAAAAACAUUGUCUCAUGAAUAAAAUAUGAGAUAAUA